rnacentral:ncRNA from 1 species
CCUGCUAAGUUUAAGCAUAUUAAUAAGUAGAGGAAAUAAAACUUACAAGGAUUCCCCUAGUUAGAGUGAGCAAACAGGAAAGAUCCUAGCUUGAGAAUCAGGCAUCUUCGAUGUUUGAAUUAUAGUCUAAAAAAGCGCCUCAAUGGCGAAACGAGUACAAGUCCCCUUGAAUGGGGCGUCAGAGAGGGUGAGAGCCCCAUUGCCCUCAGACCUUGUCACACCACGAGAUGGUGUCAACAAGUCGGGUUGUUUGGGAAUGCAGCCUCAAUUAGGCGAUAAAUUAUGUCCAAGGCUAAAUAUGGGCAAGAGACCGAUAGAAAACAAGUACCAUGAGGGAAAGAUGAAAACAACUUUGAAAAGAGAGUCAAAUAGUGCUUGAAAUUAUCAGGAGGAAAGCAGAUGGAGGCCAGUUAUGUACCCUAGUCGAAUGUGGAACAGUGACGAGUCGGUUUGCCAAUCGACUUGGGCCAUGGAUCGAUGCGAAUUGAGACAACAGCUUACUCCCAGGCCUUUGUUAUGUUUAUGGAGACGUCAUCGUCCCGAUCAUGGCUGGCAGCACGUGCCUUUUGGCGAGCUUCGACAUUUGUGCACUCCUGGCAUCGGCCUGAAGGCUCCACAUUCGACCCAUCUUAAAACACGGACCAAAGAGUCUUACAUGUGUGCGAGUUAAUGGGCGAGUAAACCCGUGAGGCGCAAGGAAGCUGACUGGUGGGAUCCCUUAGUGGGUUGUACCACCGACCAACCUUGAUCUUCUGAGAAGGGUUCGAGUGUGAGCAUGCUUAUUGAGACCCAAAAAAUGGUAAACUAUGCAUGAGCGGGUCAAAGCUAGAGGAAACUCUGUUGAGGCCCAUAGCGAUACUAACAUGCAAAUUGUUCAUCUGACUUGGGUGUAGGGGUAAAAGUCUAAUUAAACCUUCUAGUAGCUCGUUCCCUCCGAUGUUUUCCUCAGGAUAGUUGGAGCUCGUGGGUGAGUUCUAUCAAAUAAAGCCAAUUAUUAGAGGCAUCGAGGGCGCAAUGCCCUCGACCUAUCAAUGCCCUCGACCUAUUCUCAAACUUUAAAUAGGUAGGACAGGAGAACUAGCAAUGCAAGAUGAAACGGAAGCUGGGUUAUGGUGCAUAACUACGCGCUAACUUGAAGGAAUGGAAUUCUCAAAGCGGAAGCGUAUAAACGUCGUGCAAGUGAAAUUCAAUUUGUAAAACCAAUAAAUUCAAAGAAAAACAAUAAACAAAACUUAAGCAUGCUUCUCAUGGAAGAAAAGGUGAAAAGAAACUAACCUUUGUAGAACCUUAAAGAACUCUUCUUCCAAGCUUUCAAGACACCACAAAAUCUUCCUUGUUAUUCUCCAAGUAAAGAAUCACAGAGAGUUGUGGGGUUCUGUAAUUUUGGUGAGGG